GACGAACGCUGGCGGCGUGCUUAACACAUGCAAGUCGAGCGGAAAGGCCCUGCUUUCGUGUGGUGCUCGAGUGGCGAACGUGUGAGUAACCUGUGAGUAACCUGCCCUUGGCUUUGGGAUAACUUCAGGAAACUGGGGCUAAUACCGGCUAGGUGCUGCUGCUGCAUGGUGGGGGUUGGAAAGUUUCGGUUGUAGGGGAUGGAUUCGCGGCUUAUCAGCUUGUGGGUGGGGGAUUUGCUUACCAAGGCUUUGGCGGAUAGGCGGCAUGGGAGGGUGACCGGCCACCAUGGUACUGAGAGACGGCCCAGACUCGUACGGGGGGCAGUGGGGGAGAGUAUGGUACAAUGGGCGGACGCCUGUUACAGCAAUCUCCCGAGCGGGAUGAAGUCCAUCGUGUUGUAAAGCGCAGUCGCUUAAUACGAAGCUUGAGUGACGGUAACGGGAAAAGAAGCACCGGCUAACUACGUG
rnacentral:rRNA from 1 species